rnacentral:piRNA from 1 species
UGCUUUUGGUCAUGGUGUUUAUCACAGCA